rnacentral:rRNA from 1 species
AUUGAACGCUGGCGGCGUGCUUAACACAUGCAAGUCGAUCGGUAACGCGGGGGCAACCCUGGCGACGAGAGGCGGACGGGUGAGGAACGCUUGGGAAUCUGCCUAUCAGCGGGGGACAACCCGGGGAAACUCGGGCUAAUACCGCAUACGCUCUACGGAGGAAAGCCGGGGACCGCAAGGCCUGGCACUGAUAGAUGAGCCCAAGUCGGAUUAGCUAGUUGGCGGGGUAACGGCCCACCAAGGCGACGAUCCGUAGCUGGUCUGGGAGGACGAUCAGCCAAACUGGGACUGAGACACGGCCCAGACUCCUACGGGAGGCAGCAGUGGGGAAUAUUGGACAAUGGGGGAAACCCUGAUCCAGCGACGCCGCGUGGGUGAAGAAGGCCUGCGGGUUGUAAAGCCCUUUCAGUAGGGACGAAAGCUCUCGACCUAACACGUCGGGAGGUUGACUUAACCUACAAAAGAAGCACCGGCUAACUCUGUGCCAGCCGCCCGGUAAUAC